GUACAAUUUUGCUUUACUGUAGUCAUCUGCUUGUGCCUGGUACUUCAUGGGAGUGAAGAAGAACUGGGAGAUUUAGUUUCUUCACCUAAGAUCCUAAAAUUGGCUGUGAUCUGAAGUUCCUUGAUUCUUUGAUUGAAAGCAGCAGAGACCAACACCAGGGUUGCCACGUGAUCACACUGGCUAAGAGCAGCAGUGGGGCGUUGACAAAGGAAGAGAAUCCCGGAUGUCAGGUGCAACCAUGAUGAAUGUAAUGAUCUAUCCUUACCAGGAAUUUUCUUCUAAACAUCAUUCUUCAGGCUUCAGGAUCCCACAUGGGUUUGAUUAUGGUAAAAUAAGAGAAACACACUCACGCCAUGAUCCUCUUUCAUGUGGUGGUCAGUAGUGGAGCGACAGACUUCCAGGUCUAUGGCACUAUGGAUUUGGUGACAGAAGUCCGAGAGACUCGGGUUCGAUCCCUGGGUCAGGAAGAUCCCCUGGAAGAUGCCAUGGCAACCCACUUCAGUAUUCUUGCCUGGAGAAUUCCAUGGACAGAAGAGCCUGGAGGUCUAAGAUCCACAGAGUCGCAGAGAGUCGGACAUGACUGAAGUGACUUAGCAUACAAGCAUGCAUGCUUGUGGUGGGCAGUGGCCUCCCUCUCCGCCUGUCCUUCGUUCCUCCAUGUGGCUCCACUGCACACUACAGGAAAUCUGCAGCUUCCCUGGCUUCCCCCAACCCCUACCCCCCGCCACCUGGCAUAAAACUGUCUGGCUUUGGGGCAGAAUCCAAAGCAAUGGAAAGGAUCCACUUAAAAGAAGCACAGAAACAUAUAGUUCUCUCUCUCUUUUUAUUACAUAGGGAAUUACAACAAUGUGCUUCAAUGGGCAUUUCUAUUAUUUGAUUUGAAUACUAAACUUCAUUAGCUUUUAGCCCAACUUGUGAUUCCAGUAACUGACGUUUGUCAAAAAUGAGGUUUGGACGUGUCUUUUUGGCUUGGGUAAAUUAAAAGAAGAAUUUUUUGAACUGGGUUGAGGCGAGCUCCGCACACCAAGGGCACAAAUAGACCCUCCAUCAGCCUCUGCGGCAGGGACGGCCGGACAGGAGGCCCUGCUCGCUGGUGCACGUGAGCAUCCCCAGGGCCUCCAGAAGACGAGUAUGCCUCCGGCUUUUACUCAGCUGCCUCACCCUCACUCUCUCAGCAAUGAAGCCCUAUCAUUCUUAUUUGAUGAUUCUUUUUU
ensembl:lncRNA